rnacentral:tRNA from 1 species
GUAUUACACUGAUUUUUAUUUGUUUUUCUUCGGUCUUGAAAACCGGCGACCCGAAAGGGUUCCAGAGUUCGAAUCUCUGCGCUUCCGCCA